rnacentral:rRNA from 1 species
CCUACGGGUGGCAGCAGUGAGGAAUAUUGGUCAAUGGGCGGAAGCCUGAACCAGCCAAGUAGCGUGCAGGAUGACGGCCCUACGGGUUGUAAACUGCUUUUAUACGGGAAUAACGCGCCUUACGUGUAGGGCUUUGCAUGUAACGUAUGAAUAAGGACUGGCGAAUUCCGUGCCAGCAGCCGCGGGAAUACGGAGGGUCCGGGCGUUAUCCGGAUUUAAUGGGUUUAAAGGGAGUGUAGGCCGCAUGUCAAGCGUGCUGUGAAAUGUCCGGGCUCAACCCGGGCCUUGCUGCGCGAACUGGCGUGCUUGAGUCCGCGGAAAGCAGGCGGAAUUCGUCGUGUAGCGGUGAAAUGCUUAGAUAUGACGAAGAACCCCGAUUGCGAAGGCAGCUUGCUGCAGCGGAACUGACGCUGAUGCUCGAAAGCGCGGGUAUCGAACAGGAUUAGAUACCCUAGUAGUC